rnacentral:rRNA from 1 species
UACGUAGGGGGCAAGCGUUGUCCGGAUUUAUUGGGCGUAAAGAGCGUGUAGGCGGCUAGAUAGGUCCGUUGUGAAAACUCGAGGCUCAACCUCGAGAUGUCGCCGGAAACCAGUCGGCUAGAGUCCGGAAGAGGAGAGUGGAAUUCCUGGUGUAGCGGUGAAAUGCGCAGAUAUCAGGAAGAACACCUAUGGCGAAAGCAGCUCUCUGGGACGGUACUGACGCUGAGACGCGAAAGCGUGGGGAGCGAACAGG